GUAAAAAGAGAUGUGCCAUUAUAGCACGCGUGUAGCGUGUUACACAUGUGCCAAACUGCUUAAAGUGUGCUCUAGAAAAGUUUAUCACAGCUAAAAGUAUGUCAUUUUGGCCCACUGAAUGAAAACGACCCAUUACACAUGUGUCGUUUCUUAUGUACAUUACAUAUAAACAUGAUUGUUACAAGUGAUAACAUAAUCACUUGUAAAAAUCAUACUUCAUAUGUCCCUGGCAACAAAUGUGACAUAGCAACGAGUGAGACUGUUUAAAUGGUAGCUAGUGCUUGCUAGUUAGUUCAACCAAGUAUAGUACAGUACAGUCGAGACAACUGUUCACUUCAAAGAAUUGAACUGCUGGAACCACCCUCAACUCUGAAACUACCCAGUUUUUCAGUGAAUUGAUAGACUCUACUUGUUUUUUUGGCUUAUGAGUCAGUAAUUCUCCUUUCUCAACAAUGGCAGACUCCUUCGAUUGUGAUAGUGUACGAAACAGAGGGGCUCAAAGGUAGGCCUUCCUAACCACCCUCCAAGUAAGCUAGCUGUCUGAAUCUUAAUACUAGUCCCUGUCAGGGCACACAUUUGAGUACCAAAUAAGGGCAUGCAGUACAACAGAUGUGCACCUGCAGCUGCAUAGCAACAAAGAUUUUUUUUUGCUGUUCUUGCAAAGAAGAAAAGAAGUUGAGUUUAGACAUGGUUUGAGAGCUGUUUGAAAAAACUGUGGAACUAGGUAAGUUUCCCUCAACAUGCUGAACAAUGCUGUACAAUGUAAUUGCACAGCUAUUGUAUAGUACCAGGUGUCGUACAGUACACAAGGGAGCAUCUGUACAAUGUAAUUGCACAGCUAUUGUAUUGUACCAGGUGUCAUACAGUACACAGGGGAGCAUCUGUACAAUGUAAUUGCACAGCUAUUGUAUUGUACCAGGUGUCGUACAGUACACAAGGGAGCAUCUGUACAAUGUAAUUGCACAGCUAUUGUAUUGUACCAGGUGUCAUACAGUACACAGGGGAGCAUCUGUACAAUGUAAUUGCACAGCUAUUGUAUUGUACAAGGUGUCCACUAAUUUUAUUCAUUGCUUUUCCUUAUCAGCAUUGUUAUUGUUAUUGUUGUAUCUCAAGUGACUGUGGUUACAUGCAAUAGUGAGUUUGCCUCCUGUGUACAGAUUAUUGGUGUUGCGUACGGUGUUGCGUACUCUUCCUCUUGGUCUUACCUGUGUUAUAUGACUCUUUCUGUAGCUAGAAUUCUUUGCUUUCGGCUCAUGUACUUUUUCAUGCACUGGCAUUUGUCAUGGAUCACAGCAAAUACUUUUCUUAUUUCGCCCCAUAAUAAUUAUAAGUUUCAUCGCAAUGCAUACUUUGUUCAUGCUAUGAUUGAUGUUAUGUACCUAAUCUAUACGCACUUAAUUAUUCUUAUACUUGGUUAUAAUUCUACUGGCUUUUAUGUGACAUAUUUUUCUACUUCGCGCAUGCAGGUGAUGCUGAGAAGUCAAAGGCAGUAUCUUGCAAUUGCAGUGAUCUGAGUGCAGACUUGCUAUGUAGGCCUUCCUAACCACUCCAAGUGAACUAGCUGUCUGAAUCUUAAUACUGGUCCGAAAUAGCUAUGAAGUACAAGUUCAAAGGACUCUGUAGUAAAGACUCAUAAUUAACUGGAUGCAUGCACGCAAGUUUUGCAAACACUUCUGAACACUUCUGUUUCAUUUUCAGUUACUAUAAUUAUGCUAUAUAGACUCGUCAUUAUUUUUGUUAUUGUUUAUUGUUUUAUGAGAUUGAAAUGGCGUUAAUUGGAAUGAUUAAUAACACGUGUCAAAAUGACCCGCUAGAAGUGGGUCAAAUCGACACACCUUCAAUUUGACACACGUGUAGCAUGUCAUUUGGAGGGACAAUCAAAUGACACGCGUGUCAGUGUUGAAACAACCCACUUGUUUUUACAGUGUACUA